UCAGCCGCAUUUUUAAUCUGCUAAUGAGAUCCUGAAAUAUUUAAAAACCACAGAGGAAGGAUUAAUGCUGGUGAAAUAGUUCAAAAAGAGAGCCCUUGUCUUGCAGAUCUCCCUUUGAAGGCUGGAGACCAGGCUGCCUGCAGCAAUGGAAUUCCCUGCUUCCCAAUCUGAGCAAGGGCAGAAGAAAGGAGGAGGGGAAAAAAAAUCCUGCUAGGAAACAUGUUUCACAAUCCUCUGCGGCGAGCGGCACAAGCUUCUCCGAGAGGAUCUGCGAGGGUGGAGAGCAGCCAGUCGUCCAAAUGCGAGGAGGAGGCCGGGUGCCAGGAGACAGGGAGGCCAGAGGAAUGCCUGGAGGCAGCCUGGCCAUAUGCUUGCGGUAAAAACCUCCAGGUCAGGAUCAGGCUCGUGUCCAGGAACAGCGAACUUCAGAAGGUGGUACUUGUUAUUGCCCGACCGAUGGCCUCUGGCUCCUGCAAACGUCGCUGUCGGGAUAAUGUUCUGCCUUAGGCUGGUUGUUGCAAUAGGAAAUGAGGGGGGAAAAGAGAUUUUUGAAAUUAAUAGGGCCCAGAUCGAGCGGCAAUCAGCGCUUGGAUUUUCUGUUUUUGCAAAGAAACCAUUCAGAAGUCCGUAUAUUUGGUACAGCAAAGUGUAUGCUGCAACUGUAUUGUACCCUUGCAGAUACUUCUGAGUGACUGCAGAGUUUCACACUUCAGAUUGAAUCUGUUUACACAGAUAUACAAAAUGCAACAGGAGCAAGUUAUCAGAGCGCUAUUAAAAAAGUAU